CACAGGCACAACGAAUAAGUUGUGUUGUGAUAAUUUUACGAUGUUCAUCUUUCUUGUCGGAGUUGAUCUAUUGAUCAGUAGCACUAGUUAAAAUAGAACAGUGACUGUUGAUUUUUACGUCCUUUCGCCUUCAAUAUCUUCAAGAAUCCUUAAUGAAUGAAAAAUCCUUACCAAACAAAGGACAUAGUGAUUUCGACAAUGUCACCAUCGGGAAUCGAAUUCGGACCUCCAGAUUGUGAGCUUAACGCUCUGACCACUAGACCACGGAGGCUAAACUUUACACGUGGUUAUGUAUUCCGGAUCUACCGCGGGUACUGUAAGAAUCCCGACGUAAGCUUUCUAAGUAUUGCGUCGCAGACUCCCGGCGCAGACGGACAACGUCCUGCGCAUUCAGCUAGAGAUAAGCCCGAACUAACGGGAGGUAUUGUUAUUUUGAUAACCUUCUUAGUAAAUAGAAUUAGCUCGUAAGUUUAGUCUUAAGUUGACCAUUGUA